GAACAUGAGGGUGAUGGGGCUGGCUAGGCCGGUGCCCCCGUCAUUCCUCACAGCUCCCUAUGUGUCUCUAUGGAAGCUGCAUGCUUGGUCAAAGAGGACGACCUUCCCUAAUAGGGAAUGGUUUUCGGUCAAGGGCACACAAGUAGUUAUGCUCUCCUGCUAGAACCCCCAAACAAACUCUCAAGAGGUGAACUUGCACACAUUUGGCACAGACAAAACCUUU
rnacentral:snRNA from 1 species